AAUUGCGGGGCUCAACCCCGUACAGCCGUUGAAACUGCCGGGCUCGAGUGGGCGAGAAGUAUGCGGAAUGCGUGGUGUAGCGGUGAAAUGCAUAGAUAUCACGCAGAACCCCGAUUGCGAAGGCAGCAUACCGGCGCCCGACUGACGCUGAGGCACGAAAGUGCGGGGAUCAAACAGGAUUAGAUACCCUGGUAGUCCGCACAGUAAACGAUGAAUGCUAGCUGUCCGGGGGGAUUGACCCCUGGGUGGCACAGCGAAAGCGUUAAGCAUUCCACCUGGGGAGUACGCCGGCAACGGUGAAACUCAAAGGAAUUGACGGGGGCCCGCACAAGCGGAGGAACAUGUGGUUUAAUUCGAUGAUACGCGAGGAACCUUACCCGGGCUCAAACGCCGAAGGGACAUUCCCCGAAAGGGGAUUGGCCAGCAAUGGUCUUCGGCGAGGUGCUGCAUGGUUGUCGUCAGCUCGUGCCGUGAGGUGUCGGCUUAAGUGCCAUAACGAGCGCAACCCCCACCGACAGUUGCUAACUGGUCAAGCAGAGGACUCUGUCGGGACUGCCGGCGCAAGCUGCGAGGAAGGCGGGGAUGACGUCAAAUCAGCACGGCCCUUACGUCCGGGGCGACACACGUGUUACAAUGGCAGGUACAGCGGGAUGCCAUGGGGCGACCCAGAGCGGAACCCGAAAACCUGUCUCAGUUCGGAUUGGAGUCUGCAACCCGACUCCAUGAAGCUGGAUUCGCUAGUAAUCGCGCAUCAGCCACGGCGCGGUGAAUACGUUCCCGGGCCUUGUACACACCGCCCGUCAAGCCAUGGGAGCCGGGGGUGCCUGAAGGCCGUGACCGCGAGGAGCGGCCUAGGGUAAAACUGGUGACUGGGGCUAAGUCGUAACAAGGUAACCGUAA
rnacentral:rRNA from 1 species